rnacentral:rRNA from 1 species
GAUGAACGCUAGCUACAGGCUUAACACAUGCAAGUCGCGGGGUAACAUCUGGGAGAGCUUGCUCUUCCAGGAUGACGACCGGCGCACGGGUGAGUAACGCGUAUCCAACCUGGCCCAUACCACGGGAUAGCCCGUCGAAAGGCGGAUUAAUACCGCAUGUGCCCUACGGGGGAAAGCGGGGGACUCUACGGAGCCUCGCGCGCUUGGAUGGACCGAUGCACGAUUAGCUGGUUGGUGGGGUAACGGCCUACCAAGGCGACGAUCGUUAGCUGGUCUGAGAGGAUGAUCAGCCACACCGGGACUGAGACACGGCCCGGACUCCUACGGGAGGCAGCAGUGGGGAAUAUUGGACAAUGGGCGAAAGCCUGAUCCAGCAAUGCCGCGUGUGUGAAGAAGGCCUCGGUGUAAAGCACUUUAUCAGGAGCGAAAUCCGCAUGGUUAAUACCCGUGUGGUCUGACGGUACCUGAGGAUAAGCACCGGCUAACUCCGUGCCA